AGGAUAAACGCUGGCGGCGUGCCUAACACAUGCAAGUCGAACGCUCUUUUCCUUCGCAAGAGGGGGGAGGGAGUGGCGGACGGGUGAGGAACACAUGGGUGACCUACCUUUCAGUGAGGAAUACCGGCGAGAAAUCGCCGACAAGACCGCAUGAGCUUCUCUCGGUGAGCGAGGGAAGGAAAGCUCUUUUUCGCGAAAACGGAGAGGGGCGCUGGAAGAUGGGCCUGUGGCCGAUUAGCUAGUUGGUGAGGUAACGGCUCACCAAGGCGACGAUCGGUAGCUGGUCUGAGAGGACGAUCAGCCACACUGGGAUUGAGAACGGCCCAGACUCCUACGGGGGGCAGCAAUUAGGAAUCUUGCGCAAUGGGCGAAAGCCUGACGCAGCGACGUCGCGUGAAGGAUGAAAUCUUUCGGGAUGUAAACUUCUUUUUCGGGAAGUAAACAAUGACGGUACCCGAAGAAUAAGCCCGGCUAACUACGUGCCAGCAGCCGC
rnacentral:rRNA from 1 species